rnacentral:lncRNA from 1 species
AGUCCAGGAACCGCUUUUGCAUAACCUCAGUAGAUAAAGCAUGCUGAGGUCAUGUCAGAUCAUUUCAAGCUCUUCUGUGUCGAGCUGAGGAGCUGCUCUGUGCCCGGCUUACAGAACUGGAAGGGGGAGCCACCUUCCGCCUGAUGGAGGCUGGAGAACGGAUGGAACCUGGAUCCCUGGAGCCUGGGACACUACCUCGCUGCGGUUGGUGGUGGCCACAGACCAGUAGGAGGGCGGCUGGCAGCGGGAGCUUCUUCUGCCGGGCUGGAGGACUAGGAGAAGGGAGAGGGAACGCCACAUGCUGGAGGCUGGAGCCUGUGCCACCGUGGCUCACCUCGAUGUGGUUGGUGGCAGCUCGCCUUGCUGUGGUUGGUGGUGACGUCGGAGACUGCAGCUCGGCCACAGUGGUAGAAAUGUGUUGGGGUAGCUUUUGCUGUGUUGGGCACUUGCUCCCAUCUGCUUGCUUCUCUAGAAUCCACUGCCCUAGAAUGAGUAAUUUUUCUUAGAAGCAGAGUUGGAACCACUGAGGAAGCACAGUCAUCUGAUUCAUCCUGGUAGCAAUUCCAUUCUGCAUCUCUUCUGGACACCCACAGGACCACCAGAACAACCCCAUCAUGGCCCUGUCACCAGGCCCAGUUUGGCUCCAUGAUAACCAAGACGCAGGUCCAGAGACAACCGCCCUGCUUGAUGCCUGCAUCUGACCUCCCUUGGUGGGUAGUGAUGAGCACAACAUGGAAGAAGCCAGGGCAGCUUGUGGCCAGCUGCCCUACAGCCCCAGAUGGCUGGGGACUAGGAUUCCAAAAGGAUGAUUUUGGAGCUGUAGGAUUGAAUGACUGGCCUGCUGGGUUUUGGAUGUUCGUGUAUCCUAUGAGUCCCAUCGGUGUUUGUUUUUCUUUCAGGCAAUUUUUCUUCUAUUGGCUGGGAAUGCUUACCCAUUGCCUGUACAAUCAUUGUACCUUGGAAGUAGUUAACUUGCUUUAUAAUUCAGAGGCUCAUGGGCAGAAGGGACUGUAUCCUUGUCCCAGAUAAAACUUUGGGCUUUGGACAUUUGCUGGAAUGAGUUAAGAUUUGGGGGACUGUAGGGAAGUCAUCAUUGUAUUUUGCAACGUGAGAAAGACAUACGAGAUUUGCAUGGGCAGGGACAGAAUAAUAUGACUUGGCUCUGUGUCCCACUGCUGUGAAAUUGUAACGGGAAAUGUUAAAGGUGGUGGGGGCUGGUGGAAGGUGAUUUAAUCAUGGUGGAGA